UACGUAGGAGGCGAGCGUUGUCCGGAUUUACUGGGCGUAAAGGGCGUGUAGGCGGUAGCGCAAGUUGGGUGUGAAAGCCCCUGGCUUAACCAGGGAGGGUCAUCCGAUACUGCGCUGCUUGAGGGCAGCAGAGGAAAGUGGAAUUCCAGGUGUAGUGGUGAAAUGCGUAGAUAUCUGGAGGAACACCGGUGGCGAAGGCGGCUUUCUGGGCUGUACCUGACGCUGAGGCGCGAAAGCGUGGGGAGCGAACUGG
rnacentral:rRNA from 1 species